rnacentral:rRNA from 1 species
UUGAUCCUGGCUCAGGAUGAACGCUGGCGGUCUGCUUAACACAUGCAAGUCGAACGGAACCUUCGGGUUUAGUGGCGGACGGGUGAGUAAAGCGUGAGAAUCUGCCUCCAGGUCGGGGACAACAGCGGGAAACUGCUGCUAAUCCCGGAUGAGCCUAAGGGUAAAAGAUUUAUUGCCUGGAGAGGAGCUCGCGUCCGAUUAGCUAGUUGGUGAGGUAAGAGCUUACCAAGGCAACGAUCGGUAGCUGGUCUGAGAGGACGAUCAGCCACACUGGGACUGAGACACGGCCCAGACUCCUACGGGAGGCAGCAGUGGGGAAUUUUCCGCAAUGGGCGAAAGCCUGACGGAGCAAGACCGCGUGCGGGAGGAAGGCCCUUGGGUCGUAAACCGCUUUUCUUAGGGAAGAAGCUCUGACGGUACCUAAGGAAUCAGCCUCGGCUAACUCCGUGCCAGCAGCCGCGGUAAUAACGGAGGAGGCAAGCGUUAUCCGGAAUUAUUGGGCGUAAAGCGUCCGCAAGGCGGGUUACCAAGUCUGCUGUCAAAUACCAGAGCUC